rnacentral:rRNA from 1 species
UAGAGAGAGACAUGCGCGCAUAUCAAUAAGCGGAGGAAAAGAAAACUAACAAGGAUUCCCUUAGUAACGGCGAGUGAGGCGGGAAGAGCUCAAAUUUGAAAAUCUUCAAGGUUCUACCUUGACGAAUUGUAGUUUAUAGAAGUGUUUUUCUGUUAGUGGAGUGGCAAAAAGUUCUUUGGAAUAGGACAUCAUAGAGGGUGAGAAUCCCGUAUUUGGUCAUUCCUCCUAGCGUUGUGAUACACUUUCAACGAGUCGGAUUGUUUUGGGAAUGCAGUCCAAAAUGGGUGGUAAAUUUCAUCUAAAGCUAAAUAUUGGCGAGAGACCGAUAGCGAACAAGUACCGUGAGGGAAAGAUGAAAAGAACUUUGAAAAGAGAGUUAAAACAGUACGUGAAAUUGUCAAAAGGGAAGCGUUUUGACACCAGUGUUGUUUUUUCCGAAAAUCAAUUACGAAUGUUUUUAUUUUUGAGGAGUUAUGACUUCAUCGGCUUGCUCCUUUCUUUAUGAAACUUUCUUAAUGCACUUUUCGGUUAACAAGUCAACAUCAAUUUCUUUUGUUGUAAAAGGGUAUGAGGAAGGUGGCUUUCUUUUCGGAGAAAGUGUUUUAUAGCCUUGUGCCUCUGCAAUCGGAGAGAUUGAGGUCUGCAGCGUAGAUCCUUCGGGGUUAGAUACGUUUGUGCUAAGUUAUAGCUUUUUCAUAGACAACUUGUUGACUAUGUUUAGUCUUGUAGCUUACUCGCUGACGCUAUUUUACCUACGCUUAGGAUGUUGAUAGUCACAGCGUGUAC